AUAUAUACAAUCAGUUGCGCAGUGCACAACUUUCCACUACAACUUCUUUUGACUAUAACCUGCAGAUCCAAAACACAGUCAAAAAAAUGGGGUGUUCUCCUUCUGGACCUAAUCAAGUUAAUGAAACAGCAGUGACCAUAUCCUCAGGCCCUACACAGGCAGUACCACUGAUGACUGAAGAACAACGUGAAGAGCUAGAAGAAAUUGAUAAUAGUUUGAGGAGGAAAUUAGACAAGAUCUAUGCUGAGAUUCAAGAGCUGAAAGACCAAUUGGAAAAAGUAAAAGAUGAUGAGAGAGUGAAACAAUCUCUUCAGGGGAAAAUAGACAAACUAGAGGAGACUGCCAAAAAGAUUGAUGCACAGUUGGGAGAAUUGCGUAGAGUUUCUGAGAGAGAAACAGCGAAUAUGCUUACCAUUGCAAGAGAGGUAUUAGAUGAUGUGCAAGGUGUAUAGCCAUGUGAAAGGUGAGUGUAUUAAUAUUACCGAGAAUAAUAAUAUUAUUCCGAGAUGAAUAUGAAUACUAUAGACUAUAGCCCUUUCCUUGCCAUUCGUGAA